UUAAUUGAGAACAUAUUUUAAGGUGAGCUUUAUUAUAUAUAUUUUCCAACUAUAAUUAAUAGUGUAGAAUUAUAGUUGUGUAGAAGAAAUCAAUUUUAUUAAAAAAUAUAUGUUUGCAUGAAUGAAAUUUGUGCCUUCCAUGUUCUCUUUUUGAAUAAAAUUCCUUUUACUUUAGUGUUUAAUUUUUAUAAAAAUUAUUUUUCUCAAAGUUACAUUAUUUCCAAGUUUCUUGUUUCUAAUUUCCUAAUUUACUAAUUCCUUUUGUUUGUAUUUUGCCUCUCUGUGGAUACGACAUAGCCCGAUCACUACCACCACCGCUUUAAAGUUUAUUGGGCGACAUCAAUUUUUGCCUCUCUGAGGUAAUUUUACAAUAAAAGGAGUACCGCAUGGCUUGGGAAAGGAAUCAUGCUCGGGGUUGUAUCAUUUCUUGCACAGGACUUGAGUCGGCAAGCGUGUGUAUCACAGACCGUGAAGGCAUUUCUAGUUUGAGGGUGCAGUCCCCACUCGCCCGGCAUGGGCCGUAAGCUUGGCACUGGCAUACGCACCUCGCUGGGCUGGGCCAUUCGACAAGGUAUGGGCAAAGUUAAUGCUGAUCAACCAUGAGAUGGAGGACUUUGGAGCAAAACAUACAUGUUCGGCCUACUUGGCCACCACGGUAAAGAUUUAUUGAGGGACUUAGUGUAAAAGUCUGAAUUUUGUCGCUUAGGUCGACUGUUUGUAAAACUGUAAUUGUAAUUAUGUUUUUGAUCACAUUUUUGGGGAUCCCAUGUAAACUCUUUUACAGUCUUAAUGAAAAGUUAAAUUUUUUAUCCAAAAUUUACUACCUAGACCUUUAUGUUACUAAAUUUACACUUUUGAGUCCAAAUGACUCGCUUAUCGAGUUAAGCACUAUUUUAAACACACAGUGUAACAAUCAUGAUUAGUAGGACGUUACAUACACUAUAGGGGUCGUCCUAGGUCAAAGAAGGGAAAGGAAGCCCUUUGUCGUCUACUACGAAAGUAGAACUCUUAACAACACUUAGAUGAACUAUUAUACAACUAAAAAAAACAAUUACUUGAUGUAGUAUUCACACUU